rnacentral:lncRNA from 1 species
ACAAUUUAAAGAUGAAUUUCGAAAUCAGAGAGAUUGAGAUACAUACUUUGAUUUUUUUUUAUAUUUUUAUUUUGGACAUUUUACAUUGUGUUAUUUUUACAUGAAAUUUACAAUUCAGUUUAAAUUUUUAAUGCAAAUAAUUUCUUUUAUUAAAAAAGGGAGGUAAUGUGGGAUAAAGGUGGUAAAAAUUGGAGAAUGGUAUGUAGCCUAAUUUAUUAUUGAGAGUGAAAAAGGGGGGUCUGGAUAAAAAGAAGAAAAAAAGUUGAAAGUUGAAAGAAUUAGAUAAAAGCAGGAUUUGGGAAAUGUGUCACCUCCUCAAAAAGUUUAGUUCCAAUAAUAUAUGAGUAUAGAUCAAAUGAUGAUUUUUGAAUAUAAGACAUAAUUUCAAUUGUGCAGUUAAAUUAUAUCUCAUAUGGUUUCAUUUUGCAAAAAGUCUUCAACCAAUGAUUGAGGUGGUAGUAAAUAAAUAAAAAUGUUGUUAAACACUAUAAAUUUUCACACUAAAGGGACAUAACUCUUUUAUCUUAUCACCUAUCUGACAGACUUAAUUAUCAUACUAUUAACAUGCAUUUAGUAUCUCCAUGAUUAUCUGUUUAAAAUAAUUAAGUUUAUAAAUUAAACAUUAGUAUGGAGAACUUCAAGCCUACUUAUCAAUGAAUUAUGGGGAGAUGUGAAGUUUUAAUGAAAGAGUGACCAAUCUGAUUUACAGGGGUCAGUCUUUGGUGAGACCAUCUGGAUAGAUCUCUGCUGGGGGUUAUGUGUUAAAAAAGCAGAGGUGGGGGUAGGUUUACAUUGUAUAUUAAAAACUCCCCAGGGGGUUUGAUAAAUGAUAAUUUACUAUUGAUAUAAUUGGGGCCUUGGAUGCUGAAAAAGGUGAAAAGUUUAAAUAAAAAGAAAAGAAUUUUACAAAUACAGGCCAAAGUUGCACAUGUAUAAUAAAUGUGUUUUUAAUGCAUAAAUAUUUAGCAGUGAAAAUUUCUAUAAAUUUAUAUAUGUAUAAGCGGAUACUAUAAAAAUAGAUCAACAUAUAUUGCACACA